rnacentral:rRNA from 1 species
AGCAGCCGCGGUAAUUCCAGCUCCAAUAGCGUAUAUUAAAGUUGUUGCAGUUAAAAAGCUCGUAGUUGAAUUUCGGGAUCAAUUAAUUGGUCGUACCUAUGGUACGUACUGAUUUUAUUGGUUUCUCCCUUCUGACGAACCAUGAUGUCAUUAAUUUGGUGUCGUGGAGAAUCAGGACUGUUACUUUGAAAAAAUUAGAGUGUUUAAAGCAAGCUAACGCUUGAAUACAUUAGCAUGGAAUAAUGAAAUAGGACGUUUGAUCCUAUUUUGUUGGUUUCUAGGAUCGACGUAAUGAUUAAUAGGGAUAGUUGGGGGCAUUAGUAUUCAAUUGUCAGAGGUGAAAUUCUUGGAUUUAUUGAAGACUAACUACUGCGAAAGCAUUUGCCAAGGAUGUUUUCAUUAAUCAAGAACGAAAGUUAGGGGAUCGAAGACGAUCAGAUACCGUCGUAGUCUUAACCAUAAACUAUGCCGACUAGGGAUCGGAUGAUGUUAAUUUUUUAAUGACUCA